rnacentral:rRNA from 2 species
UGGGGAAUAUUGGGCAAUGGGCGCAAGCCUGACCCAGCAACGCCGCGUGAAGGAAGAAGGCCCUCGGGUUGUAAACUUCUUUUGUCAGGGACGAAGGAUGUGACGGUACCUGACGAAUAAGCCACGGCUAACUACGUGCCAGCAGCCGCGGUAAUACGUAGGGGGCGAGCGUUGUCCGGAAUGACUGGGCGUAAAGGGCGCGUAGACGGCUGUCUAAGUCUGGAGUUAAAGUCCUGCUUUCAAGGUGGGAAUUGCUUUGGAGACUGGAUGGCUUGAGUGCGGAAGAGGUAAGUGGAAUUCCCAGUGUAGCGGUGAAAUGCGUAGAGAUUGGGAGGAACACCAGUGGCGAAGGCGACUUACUGGGCCGUAACUGACGUUGAUGCGCGAAAGCGUGGGGAGCGAACAGG